rnacentral:rRNA from 1 species
UCCUGGGGCUGGAGCAGGUCCCAAGGGUUCGGCUGUUCGCCGAUUAAAGUGGUACGUGAGCUGGGUUUAAAACGUCGUGAGACAGUUUGGUCCCUAUCUUUCGCGGGCGUAGGAUAUUUGAGGGGAUCUGUCCCUAGUACGAGAGGACCGGGAUGGACGAACCAAUGGUGUUCCAGUUGUCGCGCCAGCGGCAUAGCUGGGUAGCCAUGUUCGGAACGGAUAACCGCUGAAAGCAUCUAAGCGGGAAGCCAACCCCAAGAUAAGAUAUCCCGCAACGUAUGUUGCCUGAAGACCCCUCGAAGAUGACGAGGUUGAUAGGCCGGAUGUGUAAGCACAGUCAAUGUGUUGAGCUUACCGGUACUAAUAGGUCGUGCGGCUUGGCCAC